rnacentral:rRNA from 1 species
AGAGUUUGAUCCUGGCUCAGGACGAACGCUGGCGGCAUGCCUAACACAUGCAAGUCGAACGGAGAAAGUUCAACACCAAGUAUUUCAUCCGCUGAAGUGUAGCGGUAAAAAUUGCGAAGCAAUUUUUACUACGCAUUAAAAGCAUGAGCUAACACGGUGGUUGAAGUAUUAGGUGUUGAACUUUCUUAGUGGCGAACGGGUGAGUAACGCGUGGGCAACCUGCCCUCUAGAUGGGGACAACAUCCCGAAAGGGGUGCUAAUACCGAAUGUGACAGCAAUCUCGCAUGAGGAUGCUGUGAAAGAUGGCCUCUAUUUAUAAGCUAUCGCUAGAGGAUGGGCCUGCGUCUGAUUAGCUAGUUGGUGGGGUAACGGCCUACCAAGGCGACGAUCAGUAGCCGGUCUGAGAGGAUGAACGGCCACAUUGGAACUGAGACACGGUCCAGACUCCUACGGGAGGCAGCAGUGGGGAAUCUUCCGCAAUGGGCGCAAGCCUGACGGAGCAACGCCGCGUGAGUGAAGAAGGGUUUCGACUCGUAAAGCUCUGUUGUCGGGGACGAAUGUGGAGAUGGUGAAUAACCAUUUUCAAUGACGGUACCUGACGAGGAAGCCACGGCUAACUACGUGCCAGCAGCCGCGGUAAUACGUAGGUGGCGAGCGUUAUCCGGAAUCAUUGGGCGUAAAGAGGGAGCAGGCGGCCGCAAGGGUCUGUGGUGAAAGACCGAAGCUAAACUUCGGUGAGCCAUGGAAACCGGGCGGCUAGAGUGCGGAAGAGGAUCGUGGAAUUCCAUGUGUAGCGGUGAAAUGCGUAGAUAUAUGGAGGAACACCGGUGGCGAAGGCGGCUACCUAGACAGAGACUGACGCUGAGGCACGAAAGCGUGGGGAGCAAAUAGGAUUAGAUACCCUAGUAGUCCACGCCGUAAACGAUGAGUACUAAGUGUCGGGAAACCGGUGCUGAAGUUAACACAUUAAGUACUCCGCCUGAGUAGUACGGUCGCAAGGCUGAAACUCAAAGGAAUUGACGGGCACCCGCACAAGCGGUGGAGCAUGCUGUUUAAUUCGACAAUACGCGAAGAACCUUACCUAGACUUGACAUCCCCGGCAAAGCUAUAGAAAUAUAGUGGAGGUCAUCCAGGUGACAGGUGGUGCAUGGUUGUCGUCAGCUCGUGUCGUGAGAUGUUCGGUUAAGUCCGGCAACGAGCGCAACCC